ensembl:antisense 4930556N13Rik RIKEN cDNA 4930556N13 gene
CUUACAGGGCAGCAAGCCAGCCAGUGCAGGCAUGUAGACUGGCAGACAAGACAGACAGAUUCACCCUAGGGUAACUAACUCCUUGCACAGGUACAGAUGAGCCAUCUCCCCAACCAACACCCUGGAACACUUUCUCAGCCUGCUCCACAGCAGGAGGGCAGAAGCUCAAGACCUGCUUGGUGAAACUUCUCUGGCCAAAAAGGAAAGCUAAGGUCUAGAACUGAGAGGCCCAGACAGGCCCAACGCCUCAGUCCUUUCUAGUGAUGUGAGAAAGCAAACUCUCCUACAGUGGUCUCCCCAGUUACUUCAUCUCAGGGGAACCACUUAAACAAGGAGGAAAACUACUAAAAUUAGCUAAGAACUCCCUGAAACUGAACAGAUUCACUAGGCUCCUCCUUGCCAGAGUAAACUAUAAAAGCUGAAAGUCCCUCUCAGAGGGAAAAGUGAGCCACAAGGAAGACAGAGAGGAGAGCUGCAAAGACUCAGACCAGAACAGCAGCCUAGAAGAAUACCAGCCAUGCUGCCUGGAAGAGGUGUAGACCAAAGAGAGUCGCUGGGAAAGGAUCUCUCCAACCUGUUGAGCUGCCUGCAGGCUGGGCAGUGACUUCCAAGUUCCCAGCUCGGAGCUGUGACCCAUGCUGGGGUGGGCCGUGGUGAUGCAGCUGUCUUUGAGUCAUUUCUGCUCCUGAUCCCACCUGGUGGCUGGCCAGUCAGCCUGGAAUUCACUCUGAAAACUCAGCAGGCCUCAAACUCAAAGCAAUUCACCCAUCUCUCCUUCCCAAGUGCUGGGAUAAAAGCGGGCCAGGUGUGUCUAUGUAACCUGAGCGGCCCUGAAACUCACAGUCUUACCUGCUUUUGUCUCCUGAGUACCAGAACUAAAGAUGAGUACCACCAUGCUCAUCCAAAGGUAUUUGGAGCAGAGACCACACCACUCAGCUGUGCCCAGGAUGCUGAUAGCUGAUCUGUCCUGCCCUCUGUCAACUCAUCACCCCAGAUGUGUCUCGUGCCUCCUGUUGACUAAACAAUGAAUUACUCAUC